rnacentral:rRNA from 1 species
UAGGGAAUCUUCCGCAAUGGACGAAAGUCUGACGGAGCAACGCCGCGUGAGUGAGGAAGGUCUUCGGAUCGUAAAACUCUGUUGUCAGGGAAGAACCGCCGGGAUGACCUCCCGGUCUGACGGUACCUGACGAGAAAGCCCCGGCUAACUACGUGCCAGCAGCCGCGGUAAUACGUAGGGGGCAAGCGUUGUCCGGAAUUAUUGGGCGUAAAGCGCGCGCAGGCGGCUUCUUAAGUCAGGUGUGAAAGCCCACGGCUCAACCGUGGAGGGCCAUCUGAAACUGGGGAGCUUGAGUGCAGGAGAGGAGAGCGGAAUUCCACGUGUAGCGGUGAAAUGCGUAGAGAUGUGGAGGAACACCAGUGGCGAAGGCGGCUCUCUGGCCUGUAACUGACGCUGAGGCGCGAAAGCGUGGGGAGCAAACA